rnacentral:rRNA from 1 species
ACGCACGCUGGCGGCGUGCUUCACACAUGCAAGUCGAACGGAAAGGCCCUGCUUUUGUGGGGUGCUCGAGUGGCGAACGGGUGAGUAACACGUGAGUAACCUGCCCUUGACUUUAGGAUAACUUCAGGAAACUGGGGCUAAUACCGGAUAGGAGCUCCUGCUGCAUGGUGGGGGUUGGAAAGUUUCGGCGGUUGGGGAUGGACUCGCGGCUUAUCAGCUUGUUGGUGGGGUAGUGGCUUACCAAGGCUUUGACGGGUAGCCGGCCUGAGAGGGUGACCGGCCACAUUGGGACUGAGAUACGGCCCAGACUCCUACGGGAGGCAGCAGUGGGGAAUAUUGCACAAUGGGCGGAAGCCUGAUGCAGCAACGCCGCGUGCGGGAUGACGGCCUUCGGGUUGUAAACCGCUUUCGCCUGUGACGAAGCGUGAGUGACGGUAAUGGGUAAAGAAGCACCGGCUAACUACGUG